UACGUAGGGGGCAAGCGUUGUUCGGAAUUACUGGGCGUAAAGGGCGCGUAGGCGGCACGGCAAGUCAGGAGUGAAAGCCCUGGGCUCAACCCGGGAACUGCUUUUGAAACUGCCGAGCUAGAGUGCGGAAGGGGCAACUGGAAUUCCCAGUGUAGCGGUGAAAUGCGUAGAUAUCGGGAGGAACACCAGUAGCGAAGGCGGCUCGCUGGGCCAUUCCUGACGCUGAGACGCGAAAGCUAGGGGAGCGAACAGG
rnacentral:rRNA from 1 species